rnacentral:rRNA from 1 species
AACGAACGCUGGCGGCAUGCCUAAUACAUGCAAGUCGAACGAGAUCUUCGGAUCUAGUGGCGCACGGGUGCGUAACGCGUGGGAAUCUGCCCUUGGGUUCGGAAUAACAGCGGGACACUGAUGCUAAUACCGGAUGAUGACGUAAGUCCAAAGAUUUAUCGCCCAGGGAUGAGCCCGCGUGAGAUUAGCCUGUUGGUGGGGUAAAGGCCUACCAAGGCGACGAUCUCUAGCUGGUCUGAGAGGAUGAUCAGCCACACUGGGACUGAGACACGGCCCAGACUCCUACGGGAGGCAGCAGUGGGGAAUUUUGGACAAUGGGGGCAACCCUGAUCCAGCCAUGCCGCGUGAGUGAAGAAGGCCUUCGGGUUGUAAAGCUCUUUUGCCAGGGACGAUAAUGACGGUACCUGGAGAAUAAGCCCCGGCAAACUUCGUGCCAGCAGCCGCAGUAA